UCGGACCAGACCACAUCAUAAAUAUGGAUGAAGUUCCUUUUAUUGCGACAAUGAAAAAAAAUCUAAAAAAAACAUUUGUUUAAAUUAAACUUACAAAAUAUUUCUGUGUAACAUGUUUCUGUAAAUCACAAUAUAACAGUAUCUCUAACAGUAUCUCAUGUUACAACGUGGACACCUGCAGCCUACACACAGGUGCGGCCUUAAAAGUGCUGGGUUAUUUCUGUAAACACAUUUAGGGGUUAUUUGUGGCAGGUAACAGUUCCGGGUUGUUUGAUGAACUGUAAGCAUAACAUAACAUGUUGGGUUGUUCAACUCCUACAGUAUUUGGGUUAAUGUGACCCAGCGUAUGGGUCAAAUAUUUUCCCGCGCUUCCAUCUUUCUAGAACUUUCGACAGACAUUUUUUGACUCCUGCGGUUAGAAGCAGUAACUGGACAGCACACAGAGCAAUAGAACAGAGUUGAUGCGGAUGAACUACUUUGAUGGACAUUGACUGAGUGGCUGCUGGACACUUGGUAGAGACAGUUAAAGGUACCUGACCGAUGGAUUCAACCAGUCCUACAAAAUCUGGGCCUCAAGGACGAAACAACAACUUCCCAGGGUUUCUGCAUUUAUGACUGAAUCAUUGCUGGAAGCUGUUUUUAAAGGAUCUUUUGGUUUUUGAAGUGAACUACAGUAAACAAGGAACUGCUGGGGUGUUAGGGAGGUAUUUUAAUUAAAGUUGUACUUUAUUAAUUUCAUGUACUGUAUUUAGAUUUUGAAGCAAAUAAUUUAAAUUAAGUAUUUGUGCAAAUGAAAUUAAAUACUCAGAUUGACUUACUUUCUUGGUAUUGUGUUGUCUGUUGUUGCAAUGUUGAGUAUUAUUAUUAUUAUUAUUGACUGUUAUUAGAUUUGUAUAUUUUUGAUUUGGUUUACGGCAUAGGCAAGCCUGUUUUUGGAGGGUUUUAUUCAUUCUUGUUCUGGUUCUGUUCAUUGGCAACUGGACUUUCUAUUUCUUUUUGAUUUGAAAUAUGUCAUUUUUCAUUCAAGUCCUCCAGACUUGAUGAAGUCUAUUGUUUGAAUAGUUACAUGUCUUCAAGAAGAAAUAGAAAGUCCAGUUGCCAAUGAACAGAACAUUUGGGGUGUAGGUAAUGACAUAGCAUAUGGGUAAUAUUUAACCCAGCUAUAUGGUUAAUUUUGCGUCAUCAAAUGGCUCAGAUCCUUCCUACCUGCUGCUGUCAGACUGUAUAAUCAGAACUGUUGAUCACGUCCCACUACAGUCACUCACCCACUGCAUCAGUGGUUUAUAUAGCAACCUGCUCUGCACAAUAUUUGUGUAAAUCUGUGAACAAUCAUGUAUAUUGUUACCGGUAAAAAUCUUAUACCCAUUACUGUGCAAUAACCCUGCAAUGACC